rnacentral:rRNA from 1 species
GAUGAACGCUGGCGGCGUGCCUAAUACAUGCAAGUCGAACGCGCAGCGAAAGGUGCUUGCACCUUUCAAGCGAGUGGCGAACGGGUGAGUAACACGUGGAUAACCUGCCUCAAGGCUGGGGAUAACAUUUGGAAACAGAUGCUAAUACCGAAUAAAACUUAGUAUCGCAUGAUACAAAGUUAAAAGGCGCUACGGCGUCACCUAGAGAUGGAUCCGCGGUGCAUUAGUUAGUUGGUGGGGUAAAGGCUUACCAAGACGAUGAUGCAUAGCCGAGUUGAGAGACUGAUCGGCCACAGUGGGACUGAGACACGGCCCAAACUCCUACGGGAGGCUGCAGUAGGGAAUCUUCCACAAUGGGCGCAAGCCUGAUGGAGCAACGCCGCGUGUUUGACGAAGGCUUUCGGGUCGUAAAGCACUGUUGUAUGGGAAGAAAUGCUAAAAUAGGGAAUGAUUUUAGUUUGACGGUACCAUACCAGAAAGGGACGGCUAAAUACGUGCCAGCAGCCGCCGUAA